rnacentral:tRNA from 1 species
GAGGAUGUAGCUCAGUUGGCAGAGCGCUUGUCUAGCAUAUAUGAGGCCCUGGGUUAGAUCCCUAGCAACCCA